rnacentral:tRNA from 1 species
GGUCUGGUGGUCUAGUGGUAUGAUUCUCGCUUAGGGUGCACCCUGAGUUGGAUCGUGAACAACGAUUCGAAUGUGCGAGAGGUCCCGGGUUCAAUCCCCGGCCAGACCC